rnacentral:lncRNA from 1 species
ACGGCGUAUAGUUUUUUUUCGAUAAGUAAAAGGAUGAAAUUGCCCCUGUUGUAUUAAAGAGACUUUCUUCGCAGACGUAUUUGAUCCUUUCAUGAUUUUUCAGAUUUCUUUAUAUAUUUGGAUAGUACUCCUCAAUAUGAAUGUGUGAGCGCAAACGGAAUGUAAUUUGGAAUUAUAACGAAGAAGUUAUAGAUGAGCAAAGACAUGGAUGAAAUUGUCAUUUAACCAUUAUUUGGAAGGCUCCAUAUUUACUGGAGCAUUAAUUUGAUGUGCCAUGUGUGUGGCUAUGAUUGGAGAAGGAAGAGAGAAAUGAGAGAAAGAAGGGGGUGCUGCCGAAUCAGGAGAUGGAAAAUAAGGGAAAUGAAGUAAGAGAGAAAGAGGGGAACCAGCUGGAUCUCCUUGGCCUGAUUUCCCUCUACGACCUGGCCCGGUUUUUGUAGAAAAUUUCUAACGCCAUCUCUGACGUUUCUCCAGUAAUUCACAGCGCAAGGCCACCUAAAAACAACUCAGAAUCAACCACUCUUUCAUUUCCACUCAAAUUCGACGAGAUUUGGCCUCAGGUUCGUACUGACAUGUCUGUGGGUUAUUCAGUGGCGAUCGAUCGUUUCUAAAGCUUAUUCCUUCCACCACCACCAUAAAAAGUCCUCCUUAAACCUCAUGAACAUGCCUCAAACAAGGUUGGGGGCGUCGGAGUUCGGUUCAAAGACGAAUCAAUGAACACCCAUUUAUGGGUUUUCGACGGAUCGAGGGUGAUUUUAGGUGUUUCCCAGGUGAAUUGGACUUCGUCCCAAGUAUGAAAGUUCUUCCCCUUAUUGUGCUCUACAUUCCUGUAAACUUUGGUAAUUUUUAGAAAUGGGUGAAAUUUUCUAAUGAGUCUAGGCGGCACGUGGCCUGAGGACCCACUUGACCUUUUAGGCUAAAUUUGAUACACCGAUUCCAUACGUGACAUCCGAUGGACAAAAUUCCAUCGUUCGAACAUAACAUAGUUUCGUUAGGAUCCGUCUCUUGAUCAUUAUAACCAUUGACGAUCCAACCUUUGGAUCGUCACCAAACUUUAAUGCGUUAUAGCAUGCAAUAUUUGAGGACAUUAGAAACUAACGGAUUGGGAAUCCAACGUACGGAUCUUGAUGAAUUGAAAUUUUAAGUUUGUAAAACUAAUUGUUGACCGCCACCUAAUUAUAGCAAUUGGCGAAGAUUCGAUUGUUGGAUCAUUCCAAAAUUUUAAGAUAUUGUUCUAUGAUAGGAGCAUAUUUAUGCGACUUAGUUAGCUUGUUUCUUGGCAUUUAUGUUGUUAGUUCGUAGUUAUUCUAGUAUUUUAAACUAUUUUCGUGUGUUUGUAGGUCCAAAGGGUUAAUGUGGCAAAGAAGUGCAUUUUGGAGCAUUUUUAGGCAUGGAAUGGAUGGCAUAUGCUUGGAGCAAAAGGAAUGGACGAAAUUUGAAGUUUGUGCAUCAUCCUCUCCCUAUAAAUAACCAUUUUAGCACACUCAUUUCACCCAACACACACAUUCACCUACCACUACAUCUACUUAUUUCACC